AUUGAACGCUGGCGGCAUGCUUUACACAUGCAAGUCGAACGGCAGCGCGGGCUUCGGCCUGGCGGCGAGUGGCGAACGGGUGAGUAAUGCAUCGGAACGUGCCCAGUAGAGGGGGAUAGCCCGGCGAAAGCCGGAUUAAUACCGCAUACGACCUGAGGGUGAAAGCGGGGGACCGAAAGGCCUCGCGCUAUUGGAGCGGCCGAUGUCGGAUUAGCUAGUUGGUGGGGUAAAGGCUUACCAAGGCGACGAUCCGUAGCUGGUCUGAGAGGACGACCAGCCACACUGGGACUGAGACACGGCCCAGACUCCUACGGGAGGCAGCAGUGGGGAAUUUUGGACAAUGGGGGCAACCCUGAUCCAGCCAUGCCGCGUGCGGGAAGAAGGCCUUCGGGUUGUAAACCGCUUUUGUUCGGGAAGAAAUCCUCUGGGCUAAUACCCCGGGGGGAUGACGGUACCGGAAGAAUAAGCACCGGCUAACUACGUG
rnacentral:rRNA from 1 species